CUCGCAGCAAUCUUCAGCAACAAUGGCUUCUCUAGUUUUUGCUCGGAGAUUUUCUUCCAAGCUUCGUAAGCAUUCUUCUUCUUCUCCACGCUCAUACCUCACACAUACUAGAGAUGACUUUUCAGUCCCAAAAAUCUCAAACUCAUUCUCUUCAACCUUCAAUCGGCAUUGCAAUUCAACUGCCAAAAACUCAAAAUCC
rnacentral:lncRNA from 1 species